rnacentral:lncRNA from 1 species
CUGCUCCCUGAUUUGGCGUUCCAAUAAGCAGAGGAAGGCUGUGUCUACACAGUGUUGAUUUCUCUGUUUUAUGCUGGGGAAAACAGAACUUUGGCCCACUAUCCAGGCAGCAGGAGGUAUCUGGAAGAGAGGAAGAGGAGGACCACAAUGGAGUGUGAUUCAGCUUCUUGAUGCUGAAUCCUGUAAAAGAGAAGGAGACCCACCCCGAGCCAUGGGAGCACUGCCAACCUGGGUCUGCCUUGGGAGCUAUGAAAGCCUUUCAGGAGGACAUGAUGUCUGAACUAAG